rnacentral:lncRNA from 1 species
CCAGGGAUAUGCACAGACAGAGAAAAGACCAUGUGAAGACAUAGUGAGAAGGCCAUCUGCAAGUGAAGGGGAGAGGCCUCAGGAGAAACCACACCUGUAGACAUCUUGAUCGCAGACUUCUAGCUUUUAGAACUGUUGUUUCAGCCACCCUGUCUAUGGCAUUUUGUUAUGGCAGCCCUAGCAGACUUAAUGUGCUCAGCGAUAAAAAGAAGUGAAAUACUAUACACUGACAUGGAGGAAUCUAAAUAAUACUGUGUCGAAUGAAAGAAGCCUUAAACAAAACAGCAUGUAACUGUAUGAUUCCAUUUAUAUGCCAUUUUAGAAUAGGCAAAAUUAAUUUUUUAGAAAAAAUAUCGGAACAGUUGUUGCCUCUGAGGCAAGGAAUUUAGCAUCGUGAUUGACCCAGGUGGCAUGAAAGGAUUCUGGGGGUGAUGAUCCUGUUUUUUCAAUCCAGACUGGGCUUUGAAUUACAUAGUUGUAUUUAUUUGUCAAAAUUCAUUGAAUGGUAUAUUUGACAUUUGUACAUUUAUUGUAUAUUAACUUUACCUCAAAAGAAAAUAUACAUACUUUAAGAUAAAUAUUAAACAUUAGUCAGUGAUAUGCAUGCUGAAGUAUCUGGAGUGAGUGUACUGAUUUUGCAAACUACUCUGAAAUGUGUCAAAAGUAAAGUGAUUGAUGAAGAAUGCGCUUGAACAACACUAUGAAAUUUUGGACUUUGAAGACAUGGAAGGUGAGGGCUUGAAGAAAGAAAAAUCUUAUUGGAAACUAAAGGAAAGGGGCUCUUUGUUAUGCAGUGGUAGAAAGUUUAGCAAUACAGUUUUCUGAAAUUAUAUGGAAAAUGUGUCUAUUGGCAAGGGUAAUCUAGCUAAGGAGAUUUUCAAAUAGUGUUGAAGGUGACACCUGAUUUCUUCUUGGGUCUUACAGGAAGGCGUUGAAUUGAGAGAAGGAAGAUUAAAGAUGAAAUCAAGGGUGUGACUUAAAACCAUUCGUGAAGACCUCAGAAGAAACAAAGAUGGUGCCUCAGAAUACGAUUCAGUCACAUAGGAGCGCUUUAAAUAAAUUAAGGUUUCACAGGUUAAGAAGAAGAAAUGUACUCAAAGAGCUGUACUUAAGGAAUUAAAACUGAGGAGCCCCAACUGCACCUGGACCUGAUUUAGAUGACAAGAUUUUGGAUAUUGAGCUCACACUGCAAUGGGAUGAGACUUUGCAAUCCUUGGAGGGGUGAGUAUAUUCUGCACAUUGAAGGGAUAUAAGUCACUGGGGGGCCAGAGGAAGAGUGUGGUAGCCAGAUUCCAGGAUAGCUCCUCAUGAUCUCGAUCUCCCGGUACUCAUAUUCCUUUGUAAUCUCUUCCCCAUGAAUGUGGACUGGAUUUACUAACUCGCUUAAUAUGGCAGAAGUGACGAGGUGUCAACUCUGAGAAUAAACUAUAAAAAGAUUGUGGUUUCUGUCUUGGGUGCUUUUGCUGGUUCCCUCUUGGAUCACUCGGCCUGGGGAAAGGCAACUGCAACGCUGUGAGGCAACCCUGUGGAGAGGCUCAAAUAGUGAGAGAUUGAGACGUGCCGGCAUCCACACCAGUGAGCUGCAAGGUAAACUCUCCCCAGCUAAGCCUCCAACCCCAGCCCACAACUUGGCUGGUACCUGACAAGAGAAGCAGAGCCAGAGGCACUGAGUUAAGCCAUGUCUGUGAGAUAACAGAAACUGACAUAAUAAAUGUUUUUGUUUUAUUUUAAGCUGCUAACUUUUGGGCAAUUUGUCAAUGAAACAAUAGAUUAAUACACAGAACAGAACUGAGAAACCAUAAUGAAAAGGAAAAAGGUGAAUCAGAGAAUGAAUAGGACACAGCUCUGUUUUCUUUCAACAAUAGAUAAGCAUAAUCUUGGAGAUGAAGAGUGGAAGAAAUAUGAAAUGACCAAUGGUCAAAUAAAGUAGUAGCAAGAAAAUACAACAGUAGAGAAAGGAGAGCAAGAAGGGAAAGGGAGAAACACUCCUGCUGAAGAUUCCUUUAUGAUUAAAGGAGAUAAACAAAGGCCAGCAGAAGAAAAAAGAAGUCCACUGUGGUCUCUGAGCAGGAGAAGAUGGGUCAUGGAACCACUGAAAUGUUACUGACAUCAUGGAAGCAUCAAGGAAAAGUCAAAAAAUCCUUCAUAAGGGUUUAUAUUCUGGGAACCAUAAUUACAAAGUCACUAGGGCUGGCUCUGAAAUGACUGAUGCUGAAGAGGGAAGAGGGUGAUGCAAUCUCUAGGAGUAGGGAAUUCAUCAUUUAUUUUGGAAGUGAUUACUGGGGGAAAAAGAACUAUUGGCAAAUCUUUAUACUCACAUUAUUAAGCAGGCCAAGGAUGAUUAUUUAGAUGUGAAAUGGUUGCUAGAGAUGAGGUAGUUGCAUGGAUUUAAAAACUUUAAAGUUAUAAAUCUGCUGCUUAAAAUACUGAACAAACUAGAGGCAUGUAUUCAGCGACAGAAAUGUGAGGCCCAGCUAUGGCAAAGGAGGGAACAUCAUCUAUCUUGACAGAUGCUCUUGCCUGGUGAUAUUAAAGCCUAAAUGUAUAUUACAGCUGACAGCAUCAUGCCAAGUAGUUCCUGUACAAGCAUAAAGAAAAACUGAAGGAAUAGUACAGUCUUAAGCAAAGUUGAAACAAAUCUAAAAUUUAAAUAUAGCAUAACAUUUUUAAAAAAUUGAUCCAGAAAAAAUGCAGUUAUAUUUAGAAAACAUACAUCUGGUCAUAUCUGCCAAAUAAGAGCCCCAAACUGUGUUAGGUACUAUAGUGGACACAAAAGAAACCCUGGCCCCAAGGGACUUACGAACCAGCUGGAGACUCAAGUUCUAUGCGUGUAAACAAUUAGAGAAGGACUCCUGAAAGGACAGACAGUAUGCCUGACAAAAAAUAGCAAUGGCAUGUGACCAACAAAACACAUGAGAACACGGUUAAUCCAAUUUUCCUGAGCUGAAAGAGAGAGGACAGGUAAAAAGGAAAGUGAAAGCAACAGUAUCCUUGGAGUCUGGCUCACAGCCAAGCAGAUGGGCCAUGACCCCCAGAACCCAUCUCUCUGAGCCUCUGGUUCUUUGUAAAGUGGGUACCACCUACCUCCUAGGGAUGCCGUGAGGAUUAUGUUACAGUGUGCCUUAUACAGUAACAGUAUUAACUGCUCAAUAAAAGGUCUUUAUUGUUUUACCAAUGAGUCCAGAAAGAGCAAGGAACAAACAAGAAGAAAAUCAAGGGGAAAGCAAGAAAAAAACGAAAGCCAAUGGAGUAUGAAGAAGACUACGUGCAAAUAAAAAGACUGCUGUUCAGAGAGGUAAAGCCAUUUGCCCAAGGUCACACACCUGGGAACUAAAGUCUAUUUGAGUCUGAAGUUAUCCCCAGCAAGUGAUGCCUGCACCCAGAACCAGCCAGGCCUUGACAUCAGAUGCUGGCCCCAGGAGGAAAUGUUGAGAGAUUGUGACAAAGGGAUUACAGGUCAUGAGAAAUUCUUAUUUUGAAUUUUUUAACCUUUCCACAAUAGAAAAAAUAAAUUCUUACCCUAAGAAUCAGGAAAAAUAAAAGUUUUAACAGUUUUCCUAUUUAUAAAGCUCUUCUGAAGAAACACGGUGACCAGAAGGUUCUUAUUUCCCAUAAUGUCGCGCUGCCUUUCAGAUUUUAGUGCUUGCUUCCUUUAAACAAAUUUUUGAUCUAUGAAAGACUUUACUCAUUCCCUUGAGUUUCUCUGUAUAUCUCAAAGUGAGCCUCAAAUGUGAAUAUGUGAACAUGUUCUGUCAGAGUUCAUAUUUAGGUCCAACUUAACCAUUUUGUUAAGCCUGUGCUUUUAAAUGUUUGCAUACUGUGAUGGUCAAUCUUAUGUGUCAACUUGACUGGGCCAUGGGGUGCCCCGAUAUUUGGUCAUACAUUCUGGGUGUUGCUGUGAGGGUAUUUUUAGAGAGAUUAACAUUUAAAUGGAUAGACUGAAUAGAACAGAUUAAUUUCCAUAAUGUGAGUGGGCCUCAUCCAAUUGGUUGAAAUAAAAGCACUGACCUAUCCUUGAGUAAGGGAGAAUUAUUCCUGCCUUUCAACUUGAACUGAAACACCAGCUCUUCCUGGGUCGCAAGCCUAUCAUGUUUAGACUAAAACUGCAUCAUCUUCUCUAGUUCUAAGGCCUUUAGACUAGGACUAGAACUAAACUAUCAGCUCUCCUGGAUCUCCAGUUUGUCAACUUGCCAUGAAGAUCUUAGGGCUGGGCUGGCUAGCCUCCAUAAUCAUGUGAGCCAAUUCCUUAGAGUAAAUCUCGUUCCUUAUAUAAUCCUGUUGGUUCUGUUUCUCUGGAGAACCCUGACUAAUAUGUAUACUUUUUUUUU